UGCCAGCCGCCGCGGUAAUACGGAGGGUGCAAGCGUUAAUCGGAAUUACUGGGCGUAAAGCGCGUGUAGGCGGUUCGUUAAGUCUGAUGUGAAAGCCCGGGGCUCAACCCCGGAAGUGCAUUGGAAACUGGCGAACUUGAGUACGGGAGAGGAAAGUGGAAUUCCGAGUGUAGGGGUGAAAUGCGUAGAUAUCGGAAGGAACACCAGUGGCGAAGGCGACUUCCUGGGCCAAUACUGACGCUGAGGUGCGAAAGCGUGGGUAGCGAACGGGAUUAGAUA
rnacentral:rRNA from 1 species